UGAAAAGAGAGUCAAAGAGU
rnacentral:snRNA from 1 species